rnacentral:lncRNA from 1 species
GUGGAGGCUGUUGGGGAAUUAAAUUCAACAGGAGCCAGGGGUCCAGGAGACAUGAUCUAAUGCCAUAAAAUCUCCAUUCUCCUAUUGAUCAUUUGUAACUUUUAGGACAACCACAGAGAGUCGUCCUUCCUUAAUACUCAGGAAUAAAUUUGGCAUGUUGAACCAGCAUCAGAUGAUGUUGAUAUUCUGCCAGCAUUAUUUUUUGUAAUUAUAAAAUCUCCAUUCUCCUAUUGAUCAUUUGUAACUUUUAGGACAACCACAGCUAAGGAACCAUACCAUUAUGAUACUCCUGUGGGCUGCCUACAUUCUAUAAGCACAGUACUCUAAUACCCCACCACCACCACCACUAACUGAAAUUUGACCUAUUCUUCAAUGCACAUCCCCAAAAUGCUUAUAAAACUGAUGGCAACCAUUAUUUCAUCCAUUU